rnacentral:rRNA from 1 species
ACGAACGCUGGCGGCGUGCUUAACACAUGCAAGUCGAGCGGUAAGGCCCUUUCGGGGGUACACGAGCGGCGAACGGGUGAGUAACACGUGGGUGACCUGCCUUUAGCUCUGGGAUAAGCCUGGGAAACCGGGUCUAAUACCGGAUAUGACUCCGCGGCGCAUGUUGUGGGGUGGAAAGCCUUGUGCGGCUGGAGAUGGGCCCGCGGCCUAUCAGCUUGUUGGUGGGGUGAUGGCCUACCAAGGCGACGACGGGUAGCCGGCCUGAGAGGGCGACCGGCCACACUGGGACUGAGACACGGCCCAGACUCCUACGGGAGGCAGCAGUGGGGAAUCUUGCGCAAUGGGCGAAAGCCUGACGCAGCGACGCCGCGUGAGGGAUGACGGCCUU